rnacentral:rRNA from 1 species
UACGUAGGGCGCAAGCGUUGUCCGGAAUUAUUGGGCGUAAAGAGCUCGUAGGCGGUUUGUCGCGUCUGCUGUGAAAUCCUCAGGCUCAACCUGGGGCUUGCAGUGGGUACGGGCAGACUAGAGUGCGGUAGGGGUGACUGGAAUUCCUGGUGUAGCGGUGGAAUGCGCAGAUAUCAGGAGGAACACCGAUGGCGGAGGCAGGUCACAAAAGCCAUUAUUGACGCUGAGGCACGAAAAGCGUGGGGGAUCAAACCAGGAUUAAAAAACCCCG